UCUGAACCUUCGGGGAACGAUAACGGCGUCGAGCGGCGGACGGGUGAGUAAUGCCUAGGAAAUUGCCCUGAUGUGGGGGAUAACCAUUGGAAACGAUGGCUAAUACCGCAUGAUGCCUACGGGCCAAAGAGGGGGACCUUCGGGCCUCUCGCGUCAGGAUAUGCCUAGGUGGGAUUAGCUAGUUGGUGAGGUAAGGGCUCACCAAGGCAACGAUCCCUAGCUGGUCUGAGAGGAUGAUCAGCCACACUGGAACUGAGACACGGUCCAGACUCCUACGGGAGGCAGCAGUGGGGAAUAUUGCACAAUGGGCGCAAGCCUGAUGCAGCCAUGCCGCGUGUAUGAAGAAGGCCUUCGGGUUGUAAAGUACUUUCAGUCGUGAGGAAGGCGGCGUCGUUAAUAGCGGCGUUGUUUGACGUUAGCGACAGAAGAAGCACCGGCUAACUCCGUGCCAGCAGCCGCGGUAAUACGGAGGGUGCGAGCGUUAAUCGGAAUUACUGGGCGUAAAGCGCAUGCAGGUGGUUUGUUAAGUCAGAUGUGAAAGCCCGGGGCUCAACCUCGGAAUAGCAUUUGAAACUGGCAGACUAGAGUACUGUAGAGGGGGGUAGAAUUUCAGGUGUAGCGGUGAAAUGCGUAGAGAUC
rnacentral:rRNA from 1 species